CCAUUUCUAAUCUUUAUUUGAAGCUAGGUGAGAGGGGUUUUUGUUAUUUAGCUGCUAAUGUGCGUAUAAAUAAAAUAUAGUUUUUUGCUGACUAUAAUCUAUGGUAUUAUUUUUAAUUUGAUAGAGAUUAAGUCGUUUUACAUCUAAAAUUGGCAAACUUGCUUACGCCCAAAGUGACUCACUAAUUAGCAUGUUUACCAUUACGUUAGCCUUAGCUUCCAUUGUGUGUCUUUUUCAAUAAAUCCCAUUAUCAAAAAGAUGUAUUUUUAAAAAUUUAAUAGUGGGGCAGGAGUGAUGACUUGGAUGUAAUAUUUUGCUAAAUUCUUUUAUUGCCCAAAACUGAUUCAUGCCUUAUCUACAAAACCCUGAACAGCUCUCCAACUGUAGGUUUGGCUGGUUAGCAAUGCUAGCACAGUCUCUAGCAUACUAGCUAACUACAGAGAAGGGGGUCUGUUUUGCUUAGAAACAUGCUUGUUAAAGCCCUGUUUGGCUGUUUCUAAUUAAAAUUGUCCCAGAUUUUAGGUAUUUAAUCAUGUGAAUGAAUACUGGGGAUUUGUUUUAUUUAGCUUUCAAUGCUCUCCACAUUAUAUAUUGGAGACUAAUUAAAAUGUGCUACAUUUAGUUAGAAGAACCGGUGUGUUUUGUGAGCAUUAAAUGAUGCUUUUAUGUAAGGUAACUUGUGUUUGGGAUUUAACAUAAGCAACUCUUAACUUUCUGUAAGUUUAGCAGUUCUGCAGUCUCUAAAAUAGUCACUGGGAGAUUUAGACAACCUAAAACCUUUGUUAUUUUUUCAUUUUUAGAUUUUAUUUGGGUCUCGUUACCGCUUCCCUGUCAUGUCGUCCAGGUCAUGUGGUCUACUGUUUCAGCCUUUUGGAAAGCGUCUCGUUUGAAGCCGAUUGUUAAGAUGUUGUGACAGUUGUGUGAACCCUGUGAAAUUAACAAUGUCUUAGCGGCACAGCUCACUGAUUGCAUUGAGACUAAGAUGUAGGAAGUCAGCUGUGGAGAAGCCCUUCAUAUAUAUAUUUUUUUUCUUGUGGGGUUGGGGCUUGUAGGAGAGGCUGUUUGCUGGGAAUUGUUUGAAACCCUGUUGUCUCAUAGAUCAGAUCAAAGAGCACUCAGUGAGGCAAUAAACUGGUGAAAAGAG